UUGGAGGGCAAGUCUGGUGCCAGCAGCCGCGGUAAUUCCAGCUCCAAUAGCGUAUAUUAAAGUUGUUGCAGUUAAAAAGCUCGUAGUUGAAUUUCGGGAUUUGUCAGUUGGUCGGGCUUCAUUGUCCGUACUGACUUGAUGGAUUCCUACCUUCUGAAUAACCAGCAUGCUAUUAAGUUAGUGCGUUGGGGAAGCAGAUCUAUUACCUUGAAAAAAUUAGGGUGCUUAAAGCAGGCUAGUGCUUGAAUAGAUUAGCAUGGAAUAAUAAAAUAGGACGGCAUGGUUCUAUUUUGUUGGUUUCUAGGAUCACCGUAAUGAUUAAUAGGGAUAGUUGGGGGCAUUAGUAUUCAAUUGUCAGAGGUGAAAUUCUUGGAUUUAUUGAAGACUAACUUCUGCGAAAGCAUUUGCCAAGGAUGUUUUCAUUAAUCAAGAACGAAAGUUAGGGGAUCGAAGACGAUCAGAUACCGUCGUAGUCUUAACCAUAAACUAUGCCGACUAGGAAUCGGACGAUGUUAAUUUUUUAAUGACUCGUUCGGCACCUUACGGGAAACCAAAGUGUUUGGGUUC
rnacentral:rRNA from 1 species